rnacentral:misc_RNA from 1 species
AUAUAUGGUGAGUAUUGACAAAGUAGUAUCUAGUUUGUUGAAAACAAAGUCACCACAGGAUUUUCUUUUGGAGAAUGUAUAUAUGGAAGACAGUUCUUGGUAUUUUCUAAAGAGCACAAAAAAAUAGAGUGCUACAAUAACAUAAAGUCACAAAAAAGAUAGGAAAUAUUAUGAGAGAGAGAAGAGAGAAAUUUCACACCCAGCAUGCUUGCCCUCAAAAUGCAAGUCAAAUAGCCAAACAGUACAUUAUCAAAAUCAUAGAAAAUAAAAUAAUAUAUAGGUGAAUAAAAAGUAGUCAAAGGCAUGAUCCAUAUAUGUAUUCCAAACACUUGGAGUUGAGGCACAAAGUGCAUGUGCACACCUAAGGGAUGUGAGACACAUUUAUAAGAAUAUGUACAGGACACUUCUAUAAUGCUUUCAAAUUCUAGAUAUUACUAAUAAGGCACA